rnacentral:lncRNA from 1 species
AAAGAUGCAGGGGAAUAUUGGAAAAUGAUCAAGGACAUGCCAGAAGAAAUUCAAGGCCUCGUUAAAUUCAAUGAGGAGCAGCAAAUUGAAGGUUUGAAGCCUCUUAUGGUCACAGAAGAAGUAACUAUGGAAAAGAAGGUGUUUACAGAAGAUAACGAAAUGGAUUGUAAGGAAAAGAAGCAGGUUGUUAAAGAGUUUGAACCAAGACCCAAUGUUUCAGCUUAUGGUGACAAUGAGGUCGAUGCUAAGGGAAAGAAGCACGUUGUGAAUGAUUUUGAACCAAGACCCAAUGUUUCAGCUUAUGGUGAUAAUGAUGUUGAUGCCAAGAACAAGAAGCACGUUGUGAAUGAUUUUGAACCUAGACCCAACGUUUCAGCUUAUGGUGAUAACGACAUUAACGCUAAGAAACAAAAGAAAUUUGUGAAAUCCUUUGAACCAAGACCUAAUGUUUCAGCUUAUGAUAAGGACAAUGUUGAUGCUAAGUAAAAGGACAUGGUGAAACACUUUUAACAGUAUGAAAUGUCACUAGCUACUGGUUAUACUAUAAUGAUGAAUAAAUAAAUAAAAGUAAAUGCAUCUUAAAU